rnacentral:rRNA from 1 species
AUGGCUACGAUUGCUCUGAUAGUGGCCAUGGUGCUCAGCCUGGCGCAGCUCUCCGCCGGGAGCAGGAGGCUGAUGGAGCUGUACGUGCCUCCGGAGAGCGACCGGCUCACGUACCACCAGGGCGGCGUGCUCGGCGGCGACAUCCCCGUGUCCAUCCUCUGGUACGGCAAGUUCACGCCCGCGCAAAGGUCCAUCGUCGCCGACUUCGUCGUCUCGCUGAACUCCGCGCCCAACGGGGCCGCCACGCCCUCGGUCGGGCAGUGGUGGGGCACCAUCGAGCAGCUCUACCUGUCGAAAGCCGCUGCCGCUAACGGCCACGCCGGUGCUACGCAUGUGCUCCUCGCCGAGCAGGUGACCGACGAGCAGUGCUCCCUCGGCACGUCGCUAACCCUGGCCCAGAUCGACCAGCUCGCCGCGAGCGUCGGCGCCAAGAAGGGCGGCAUCGCGCUGGUGUUCACCGACGAGGACGUGGCCGUGGAGGGCUUCUGCGGCAGCCGGUGCGGCAGGCACGGGUCGUCCGCCGGCGGCGACUCCACGCACAUCUGGGUGGGCAACUCCGUGAAGCAGUGCCCCGGGCAGUGCGCGUGGCCGUUCGCGCAGCCGCAGUACGGGCCGCAGGGCGCGCCACUGGUGGCGCCCAACGGCGACGUCGGGAUGGACGGCAUGGUGAUGGUCCUCGCCACCAUGGUGGCCGGCACCGUGAGCAACCCGUACGGGGACGGCUACUACCAGGGCCCCAAGGGCGCGUCCCUGGAGGCCUGCACGGCGUGCCCCGGCGUCUACGGCAGCGGCGCGUACCCGGGCUACGCCGGCAACCUGCUCGUCGACCCCGCCACCGGCGCCAGCUACAAUGCCAACGGCGCCAACGGGAGGAAGUACCUGCUCCCGGCGUUGUACGACCCCGCCACGGCAUCCUGCAACACGCUUGUCUAG